CCUACGGGAGGCAGCAGUGAGGAAUAUUGGUCAAUGGGCGAGAGCCUGAACCAGCCAAGUCGCGUGAAGGAUGACGGCCCUACGGGUUGUAAACUUCUUUUGUCAGGGAGCAAUUGGGUCCACGCGUGGGCUUAGCGAGAGUACCUGAAGAAAAAGCAUCGGCUAACUCCGUGCCAGCAGCCGCGGUAAUACGGAGGAUGCGAGCGUUAUCCGGAUUUACUGGGUGUAAAGGGAGCGUAGACGGCUGUGCAAGUCUGAAGUGAAAGCCCAGGGCUCAACCCUGGGACUGCUUUGGAAACUGGGGAGCUAGAGUGCUGGAGAGGUAAGUGGAAUUCCUAGUGUAGCGGUGAAAUGCGUAGAUAUUAGGAGGAACACCAGUGGCGAAGGCGGCUUACUGGACAGUAACUGACGUUGAGGCUCGAAAGCGUGGGGAGCAAACAGGAUUAGAUACCCGGGUAGUC
rnacentral:rRNA from 1 species